UUCUCUCUCUCUCUCUUGAAUGUUGGGAUCACUCACAAAUCAGUCGUCUCUCUCUCUAUCACUCUCUCGAUCUUCAUCGCUCAUCACGGACCCCCUGUACGAUCCCUCGUCUGAAAUCGAAACAAGGUCGAAAUCCAGAGAUGAUCCAGAACAUGACAGAAUGUAUAAGGUGAGAGUUAGAUGGGGUGAUCCUAUGGCACAUUUGGUCAAGAAAAGUAUCCUGAGCUUGUUCUAUCAGACCUAGGAGAUGAUGAUAAGAUGAAAGAAUCAGGGUUUAUAGUCCCUCAAGACAUUCCUAGUCACAGCUGGUUAAAAAGAGGAUUAGAUGCUCCUCCAAACCGGUAUGCCAUCAGACCAGGGAGACACUGGGAUGGGGUCGAUUGUAGUAAUGGGUUUGAAAAGGAAAUCUUUAAAAGGACGAAUGAGAAACAGGCCACGGAAAGCGAAGCAUAUCUUUGGUCUGUAUCAGAUAUGUGAAGUGCAAGGACCGUAUUCUUCAUGCUGUUGCUGCAGGGGUUAUACUCAGUUUAGUGUUUGUGUUAAGUGGUAGUUAGAGAUGAGUACAAGAAAAAUAGCUUGGAAAAGAAGCUCUGAUGUGCUGUAAAAAAUAAGGAUAGACAAUGACAGAUGGUUAUAUACAUUGCCUG